rnacentral:rRNA from 1 species
AUUGAACGCUGGCGGCAGGCCUAACACAUGCAAGUCGAACGAGUGGCGGACGGGUGAGUAAUGUCUGGGAAACUGCCUUAUGGAGGGGGCUAAAUACUGGAAACGGUAGCUAAUCCCGCAUACCAUCGGAUGUGCCCAGAUGGGAGUAGCGAGUAGGUGGGGUAAAGGCUCACCUAGGCGACGAUCCCUAGCUGGUCGGAGAGGAUGACCGUCCAAACUGGAACUGAGAAACGGUCCAGACCCCUACGGGAGGAAGCAGUGGGGAAUAUUGCACAAUGGGCGCAAGCCGGAUGCAGCCAUGCCGCGUGUAUGAAGAAGGUCUUCGGGUUGUAAAGUACUUUCAGCGGGGAGGCGUUACCCGCAGAAGAAGCACCGGCUAACUCCGUGCCAGCAGCCGCGGUAAUUC